CUGGCAAGACGCGCUGGCCCCUUGCCCCUGAGAGCUACCAUAAAUUCGAGAGGCCUGUGAUUGGUUGGAAUGAGGCCAACCGGAAAUUGGCCUGAUGGGACUUGUAGUUUAUGUGCUAAAAGCGCCUUCAGAGCUUCUAUUUAAGGAGGGAUUUCAUGAGUCAUUCCUGCAAGUCCUGUUUCAAGGCUUCUGCCUGCAUUAGUCAUGACCUUUCUGUUGCAGUGUUGAACAGUGAGACAUAAGGCAGGUGCUUUCACAGUAAGAUUAUUUUUAAAAGAUCUACUAUAAUUGAAUUCAUCCCAUGUGAGGACAGAUCUAAUGAUUCAACCCCGAAACACAAUAGAUGAAUGGACGGAUGACCUAAGCUGUUGUUUCUGCUCAAAUCCUUAUACCUGAUUGUUGAAGUCUUAACGAGGUUUCUGGCAUGCUAAUGAGAAACCCAAAAAUCUUUGUUUAAUCAAUUUACUGACUGCAGAGUGAGUGAGUUCAUCCCAGGUUUAAUGAGUUUCUUCAGUUCUUAAAAAGAAUUAAACAGGUUUUGCAAAGUGAAAUAAUCUGCUCAUAUUUAGAAACAAACCAAAAGAGAUUUUUCAACUUUUACCAAAGUUACAACUGCAGGCUUUGCUCUUUGGAUUCAUUUCUUUAAGCGUGUGUGUCUAAAACUGUUUGCUCUGAUUACAGAUGGUAAACUAAUCUGUUUGCAGAGAUAUUUUGCAAUGCGCUCAUUGGCUGCGGUCUGUGCUUUUAUCCAAUCAGUGAACAAAGCCAGCCCCUGCAGGUCACCCUGACUGCAUAACAGGGGUCAUUGUUAUUGACAAAUCUAUCAUGCAUAUUCCGCCUGUGUGCGAGGGAUUGGUAAAACUUUGCGUGACGCUCUUUUCAGUUACUCUAAAGCUAAUAAAGAAGUAAAAACAUAGCAUUUAUCUUUUUUUAACCGGUAAGCUAAGGAUUUGGAAUGAGUGGUGCAGACUUGAAGAGGUUAAAGUGGGCUACAGUCACUUCCUGAAGGUUAUGUCCGCAGCUGCGCGCCGUCAGAGCUGCUCAUGCAGUUUGGUGCAGCUUAUUCCCGUGAGAUCUUUGGCAUUUCCUCAAAGCUUACCUAAUCCACCACACUGUCCCAUUCCAGGAUCCAGUGGUCAAUGGAUUUAACACAAGCAUGCUUACAGAUGUGCUUCAAUUCAGUCAGUAGGCAAGUCAGGGGACGGAGGAACACCGCCACCUGGUGGCUAAAAUUCAGCAAAGCAUAAGAAAAUAAAUUAUCAAAACAUAUAUUUUUUUCCUAAAUAAUCUGCACAGAUUUUGUUCAAAACCAAAAAGACAAAAACUGAACAUCAAGAGUGAGAUUUGGGAAAGUAGAGUUUUAUUCAAUGUCAUUAUCACAAAUUUAUAAAAGGCAAAUGUUUCACUAGAAAAGUAUAUUGAAAAGAAAGUCGCAUAGUUGGAAUCUUUUAGAAAUACAUUCAAUUUCAUAAAAAACUAUAAUGCAUUUCAACAAUCCACUGAGCUCGGCUUGAUUGUAAAACUUCUUCCAAUAUCAUUAGUGCAUCUUUUUUUCCUUGCAUCUUAGUUGAAAUAUAUUAAGUCUAAUAAAUGAAACCACAUCAGUAACACAGAAAAGGAAACAACACGAGCAACACGCUGAGCUGGAUGGGAUAAAUGAGAUGCUGAGGACAUGUGGUGCAAAUGAGCGUUUUCGGUUCACAUAUUGCUUCAUGUGGGUUUUUAGCCUGGAUUUGACUCAUUUCCUCCAUCACAGAGAUGUGAAAGUAAGGCGAUGGAUCCGACAGCCCGGUUCCUGCGGUUUAGUGCAGCUUUCUUCAAUCCCAACUAAUUUGUUUUUGUAAAAAUCAAAACUUUCUGGUGUGUUUGUAAACUCCUGUCAGAAGCCUGAAAGCCCAGGAAUAACUUCUCAGAAACUGGUGCUGCUUAUGUGGAAAACUGUUUACACAAAAAGACAUAAAUGAAGAGAAAGAGGUGCUGUUUUUCAAGAUUAUUGAGAAACACGGACAAGAAUGAAGGCAAAAACAUCAUCAAAAGGCAGGAAAUACAACGAAGUGCAGGAGCAAAGUGUCAAAUCCAUGAGUGCUGCAAAAAUACAGAUGUGAAUUCUGACCGUCUCAGUCAGACGGAGCUCCACGGCUGAAGAGGAGAAGGACUUUGUAAACAUACAGACGCUGUGCUUACAAAGUGGCAUCAGACCCAGGUGUGGAGGGAGAGGGGCCUUCAAUCCGUGUCCAUGUACGGCACUGAAGACGGCCAGCCGCUCGCUGAAGGAGGGACGUGAAUGCUGC